GUGGUCUUUCUCUGCUUGUAGAGAGAGAGAAGGGCCCGGCUGCAGGGCAUGAGACACAAAGUACCUGAGUGGAGCAGGGCUGGGGAGCCCCAGUCUGGAAAGCCCCAGGCUGUGGCCUAGCAUUAGGCCAAGAGGAAACAUAGGCAGCAGCCAAACUCAUCUUCUUUCUUAUAGCAU